rnacentral:rRNA from 1 species
CGUUGACCUCGGAUCAGGUAGGAAUACCCGCUGAACUUAAGCAUAUCAAUAAAGCGGAGGA